CACGUAGGGCGCAAGCGUUGUCCGGAAUUACUGGGCGUAAAGAGUGCGUAGGCGGUUCUCCAAGUCCGUUGUGAAAGCCCCGGGCUCAACCUGGGAAUGGCAGUGGAAACUAGGGAACUUGAAUCUGGCAGAGGGGGGUGGAAUGCCGCGUGUAGCAGUGAAAUGCGUAGAGAUGCGGCGGAACACCGAUGGCGAAGGCAGCCCCCUGGGCUGAGAUUGACGCUCAGGCACGAAAGCGUGGGGAGCAAACAGG
rnacentral:rRNA from 1 species